rnacentral:misc_RNA from 1 species
CCAACAUAUGUGCCUCCAAAUUCUCAAGCAGUUAUGGUUGGACGACUUGGGCAGCUGGUCUAUGUGCAGCCAGUUUCUCAUGAUUUGGUUCAGAAUGCAGCAACUAUCUCGCCUGUAUCUGCAUGUCCUAUUUUGACAUCACAACAGGUCCCAUAUCCUAAGCACCAAGGGAGUGCAGGAGGCCAGGCCUUACAAUUGUGUGCACCCCCAGCUUUUGUAGCUGGUGGCCAGCACCCGUUUGCAAUGCCAAGCCAUAUCCCUCUUUUGCAACCUCCUAUCCCUGCUAACCGGCCCGUUCCAGUUCCAGGAUCUAAUGCUCUGUUCGGUACCAAGUUUCCAUGAAUAUAUUCCAUUGCUAUUAUGACUUCAUGAUACUUAUUCAUGAAUGAUAAAAUUUUGGUCCAUAGUUUUUUGAAGAGCAUUUAGUAUAGAGGUGCUUAAUUUUUGUCCCUCAUAUACAGGUUAAGCUCAUUCUAUGCGGAAUUGCCAAUGUCAGACCUAUGGAGUGUUUUUUCUUUUUCUUUUUCUUUUUUUUUUUNNUGGGGGGGGGGGGGGGGGGGGAGCCGGCGUGUACGCCGUAUGGGGUGACGGAAUGGUGGAAGGUAACAUAGACAAUAUAUUGAAACAGACAGACAACAGC